GGGCCCGCACAAGCGGUGGAGCAUGUGGCUUAAUUCGAGGCAACGCGAAGAACCUUACCUGGUCUUGACAUGCCCGUCAUAGUUUUCCGAAAGGAAUUCGUCAGUUCGGCUGGACGGUGCACAGGUGCUGCAUGGCUGUCGUCAGCUCGUGUCGUGAGAUGUUCGGUUAAGUCCGGCAACGAGCGCAACCCUCGUUUCCAGUUGCCAGCGGGUAAUGCCGGGGACUCUGGAAAGACAAACCUCUUGUUGAGGUGGGAAGGUGGGGACGACGUCAAGUCAGUAUGGCCCUUACGACCAGGGCUGCACACGUGCUACAAUGCCCGGUACAAUGGGAUGCAAAAUCGCGAGAUUGAGCCAAUCCAUAAAGCCGGGCCCAGUUCGGAUUGGAGUCUGCAACUCGACUCCAUGAAGUUGGAAUC
rnacentral:rRNA from 1 species